rnacentral:rRNA from 1 species
AAAUAGAUACCCCAGGUAGUCCACGCCGUAAACGAUGAGUGCUAAGUGUUAGAGGGUUUCCGCCCUUUAGUGCUGCAGCAAACGCAUUAAGCACUCCGCCUGGGGAGUACGGCCGCAAGGCUGAAACACAAAGGAAUUGACGGGGACCCGCACAAGCGGUGGAGCAUGUGGUUUAAUUCGAAGCAACGCGAAGAACCUUACCAGGUCUUGACAUCCUCUGACCAUCCUAGAGAUAGGACCUUCCCCUUCGGGGGACAGAGUGACAGGUGGUGCAUGGUUGUCGUCAGCUCGUGUCGUGAGAUGUUGGGUUAAGUCCCGCAACGAGCGCAACCCUUGUCCUUAGUUGCCAGCAUUCAGUUGGGCACUCUAAGGAGACUGCCGGUGACAAACCGGAGGAAGGUGGGGAUGACGUCAAAUCAUCAUGCCCCUUAUGACCUGGGCUACACACGUGCUACAAUGGAUGGUACAAAGGGCUGCGAAGCCGCGAGGUGGAGCCAAUCCCAUAAAACCAUUCUCAGUUCGGAUUGCAGG